ensembl:snRNA U6 U6 spliceosomal RNA
UGCUACAGAGAAGAUUAGCAUGGCCCCUGUAUAAGGAUGACAUGCAAAUGUAUGAGGCCUUCCAUAUUAAA